AUUGAACGCUGGCGGCAGGCCUAACACAUGCAAGUCGAACGGUAACAGGAAGCAGCUUGCUGCUUUGCUGACGAGUGGCGGACGGGUGAGUAAUGUCUGGGAAACUGCCUGAUGGAGGGGGAUAACUACUGGAAACGGUAGCUAAUACCGCAUAAUGUCGCAAGACCAAAGAGGGGGACCUUCGGGCCUCUUGCCAUCGGAUGUGCCCAGAUGGGAUUAGCUAGUAGGUGGGGUAAAGGCUCACCUAGGCGACGAUCCCUAGCUGGUCUGAGAGGAUGACCAGCCACACUGGAACUGAGACACGGCCCAGACUCCUACGGGAGGCAGCAGUGGGGAAUAUUGCACAAUGGGCGCAAGCCUGAUGCAGCCAUGCCGCGUGUAUGAAGAAGGCCUUCGGGUUGUAAAGUACUUUCAGCGGGGAGGAAGGGAGUAAAGUUAAUACCUUUGCUCAUUGACGUUACCCGCAGAAGAAGCACCGGCUAACUCCGUG
rnacentral:rRNA from 1 species